UACGUAGGGUGCGAGCGUUAAUCGGAAUUACUGGGCGUAAAGCGUGCGCAGGCGGUUAUUUAAGUCAGGUGUGAAAGCCCUGGGCUUAACCUAGGAAUUGCGCUUGAGACUGGAUAGCUCGGAGUGCGGCAGAGGGAGGUGGAAUUCCACGUGUAGCAGUGAAAUGCGUAGAGAUGUGGAGAAACACCGAUGGCGAAGGCAGCCUCCUGGGCCAGCACUGACGCUCAUGCACGAAAGCGUGGGGAGCAAACAAG
rnacentral:rRNA from 1 species